CCGCAUCAGAUUUCCUGGUGUAACGAAUAUUCAAGUGCUUCUUGCUGUUAGCAAGUUUUAUCCCGGCCAAUCGGCCGGGA
rnacentral:other from 1 species